CGGUGAAGCCCAGCUUGCUGGGUGGAUCAGUGGCGAACGGGUGAGUAACACGUGAGCAACCUGCCCUCCACUUCGGGAUAAGCCUUGGAAACGGGGUCUAAUACCGGAUAUGAGCUCGCAUCGCAUGGUGUGGGUUGGAAAGUCUUUCGGUGGGGGAUGGGCUCGCGGCCUAUCAGCUUGUUGGUGGGGUGAUGGCCUACCAAGGCGUCGACGGGUAGCCGGCCUGAGAGGGCGACCGGCCACACUGGGACUGAGACACGGCCCAGACUCCUACGGGAGGCAGCAGUGGGGAAUAUUGCACAAUGGGCGCAAGCCUGAUGCAGCGACGCCGCGUGAGGGAUGACGGCCUUCGGGUUGUAAACCUCUUUCAGCAGGGAAGAAGCGCAAGUGACGGUACCUGCAGAAGAAGCGCCGGCUAACUACGUGCCAGCAGCCGCGGUAAUACGUAGGGCGCAAGCGUUGUCCGGAAUUAUUGGGCGUAAAGAGCUCGUAGGCGGUCUGUCGCGUCUGGUGUGAAAUCCCGAGGCUCAACCUCGGGCUUGCAUCGGGUACGGGCAGACUAGAGUGCGGUAGGGGAGACUGGAAUUCCUGGUGUAGCGGUGGAAUGCGCAGAUAUCAGGAGGAACACCGAUGGCGAAGGCAGGUCUCUGGGCCGCAACUGACGCUGAGGAGCGAAAGCAUGGGGAGCGAACAGGAUUAGAUACCCUGGUAGUCCAUGCCGUAAACGUUGGGCACUAGGUGUGGGGCUCAUUCCACGAGUUCCGUGCCGCAGCUAACGCAUUAAGUGCCCUGCCUGGGGAGUACGGCCGCAAGGCUAAAACUCAAAGGAAUUGACGGGGGCCCGCACAAGCGGCGGAGCAUGCGGAUUAAUUCGAUGCAACGCGAAGAACCUUACCAAGGCUUGACAUGUACGAGAAAGCCCCCGAGACGGGGUUCUCUUUGGACACUCGUACACAGGUGGUGCAUGGUUGUCGUCAGCUCGUGUCGUGAGAUGUUGGGUUAAGUCCCGCAACGAGCGCAACCCUCGUCCUAUGUUGCCAGCGGGUUAUGCCGGGGACUCAUGGGAGACUGCCGGGGUCAACUCGGAGGAAGGUGGGGAUGACGUCAAAUCAUCAUGCCCCUUAUGUCUUGGGCUUCACGCAUGCUACAAUGGCCGGUACAGAGGGCUGCGAUACCGUAAGGUGGAGCGAAUCCCAAAAAGCCGGUCUCAGUUCGGAUUGGGGUCUGCAACUCGACCCCAUGAAGUCGGAGUC
rnacentral:rRNA from 1 species